UUUGCCUACGGGGCGCAGCAGUGAGGAAUAUUGGUCAAUGGGCGCGCGCCUGAACCAGCCAAGUCGCGUGAGGGAAGACGGUCCUAUGGAUUGUACACCUCUUUUGUCGGGGAGCAAAAGACGCCACGCGUGGCGUUCCGAGAGUACAAGAAGAAAAAGCAUCGGCUAACUCCGCGCCAGCAGCGGCGGUAAUACGGAGGAGGCGCGCGUUAUCCGGAUUUAUUGGGUUUAAAGGGUGC
rnacentral:rRNA from 1 species